UGCACACUCAUUAAAAGCAGUUCUACAGCACAAGUAUCACCCGAUGAAACACUUAGAUGUGCAUAAUUUGUCUUCAAUUUUCAUACUGAAAAGGAGAGAAACGACGUUCUACAGCAGAGCAGCAGUUUUCUAAGGAACACAAUGACAAACUACAUUUCCCACAAUCCUCCACGAUGCGUGCACAUGCGCUCUAGGAAUUCAUGAGACGCAACACGCAAUGUUUUGGCGAAAAUAUUUUCUUGGCAUUUCAUUUCGAAAUCUCAGAUAAUCUCAGCAGAUUCACGACACGUAAUGAUCUUUAAUGCGUUUAUUUAUUUAAGGGCUCGACGCCCAAGGAACCGACUGAACACGGACUUAGAAAAUCGCUGUGUACAUGACUCACCUGCUGCUAGCCAUGUUACAGUUCUCUCAUGUGUGCGACUGUCAGAAAGCCCGGACCUGCAAUUCCGAUUACUCUGUUUCCGCUCUCUGUGCGCGUGAUUACGUCACACGUUGUUGACAGUGGACAGAAAAACCUAAACAGAUGCACUAAAAUGACUUCUGAGAUCAGCCUCUGUGGCGCUUUACACAGUGUUAAACAAUAAACACGAGGGUUUUCACGCA